GGGCUCCGUGCCACGCAGGGCCAGGUGGGAGUGUGCUCAGGAACAGAGGGGACGGCCCCCGCUGUGGGAGGCGGGCUCUGUGGUGAUGAGAGGAUGGGUGCCGCCUGGCCCCUGCGGGUGGGUGUCGUUGGUUUGUUUGAAUUCCGAGGGCUGGCAGGGAACCAAAGCCACUCCUUUGAAAUUAGCAGGCUCCAUGGCCCCUGAGACAGGUCCAGGGAUCCCAUGUAUGGUGAGGCCGUUCAAGGCCCUGUCUGUCUUCCUUGGGUGUUGAGGCCACAUAUACUCAUCUGAGGCCUUAUGCCACGCUGCCCCUGAGUCCUGGGAAGCAGAAGUGGAGACCCCAGGACACUCUGGUCAGGGAGGCUUUGUUCUGUGGGGAUCUCUGAGCACACAGCGGCCAGCUGCGUGAGGGAGGGCCCUGGGGGAGCUGUGAGUUACAGGUCGGAAGCGCCAUUGCUAUCCCGAAGCGACACAGAUAUGUGGGUGCUCCGAGGAAGGAGAUGACAGAGAACAAAGCUAAGAACCCUGCUUGGCACAUUCCUCACCAGCAACUGAGCUGCCGCUUGGAAUGGGGUUCAGGACCUUGUUGGGGCCCCAGAUUCCUUUGGGAAGCUGAUGAAAGCUCUGCACAUUCUGCGGCUAAAGAUGCGCAUUAGCACAGGGCAAGGCUUCCCAGCAAACAAGAAAAAAUGGGCUAUUAUUGCCACAAAUGGAAACAAAUCCCAAGUGCACAAAUACAACAAAAAGUAACUUUUAGUUCUGCCCCAAGCCGGCGUGGGUGGGAGCGUCUCCACUCUCGGGCUCAGACCACACGCGGGUCCACAGCACUGCCUCCCACACACAGCAUUGCCUGACUCGUCUUUGGACCCGACGGCCUUCCACUCUGCUCUUGUUGGGAAUGGGCAUUAAAGCAGCGGAUUCACCGAGGCAGGCGGUAGCACCGGAGGCGAGUUCUGCAGCUGGCUUUGCAGGAGCAGGGCGAGCUUGUGUCCUGGCGUCGCCGACUCUGCGAGGCUGUCUGAGCAGUUCAUUGCUUUGCUCCCGCUGCGUUCCCAUCCUCAUGAUUCUGUCUGGUGCUUUCUGCACAGCAUAGGUGUGGUCAGCACGGAGGCGGUUACAAAACCAAACCAGUUUCAUAGUGGACCAAGUGAACUUCACCCUGAACAAGAAUUCCACGGUCUUUUCAGGGGUUUCUUGCACGGGGGCAGGCAAGGGUGUGGCCGUCUCGACUCCAGGCCCUGCUUUCCACAUGACAGUGUCCCCAGAGGCCUCCUUGCGCUUCAUCAUUAACCGCGACAGAGCUGGAAGGGCU
rnacentral:lncRNA from 1 species